UAUCUGCUUAUUUCCCAGCCUUUGCAGUCUCUCUCUCUAGCAGAUUCUAAACUGAAAACAGAGAUUACUAUCAUUAUCAAUGCAUUGGGCAGCAAUACAUCCCUUACAAAAAUUGAUAUUAGUGGAAAUGCUAUGGGUGACAUGAGCGCAAAGAUGCUUGCAAAAGCUCUUCAGAUAAACACCAAACUCAGAACUGUUAUAUGGGACAAAAACAACAUCACUGCUCAGGGAUUCCAGGAUAUAGCCGUGGCACUGGAAAAGAAUUAUACCUUAAGAUUCAUGCCUAUACCUGUGAAUGAUGCUUCACAAGCACUUAAAACAAAUCCUGAGAAAACAGAAGAGGCACUUCAAAAGAUAGAAAAUUAUUUGCUUCGAAAUCAUGAGACCAGAAAUAUCUACAAGAGCAAGCGUACAGACUACAGCAGGGCAUAGUUACUAGCACAACACAACAGAUGAUAGACAGAAUAUGUGUCAAAGUACAAGAUCAUCUCAACUCUUUAAGAAAUUGUGGAAUUGACACAAUACAAGAGGAUCUGAAAGCAGCUGAAAGACUUAUGAAGGAUGCUAAGAAUUCCAAAACAUUAUUACCAAACCUGUAUCAUCUUGGUGGAGCUUCAUGGGCAGGAGCAAAUGGUUCAUUAUCCAAUCCAAUUCAGGAGAUCCUAGAAUCUAUGGCUGGGGAAGUUACAAAGGUUGUUGAUGAUCAACUCAAGACAUUACUUGAGUCAAUGGUAGAUGCAGCUGAAAACCUGUGUCCAAGUGCAAUGAAGAAAGCACAUAUAAGGCAAGACUUGAUUGAAGCAUGUACUGAAAAAAUUUCCAUUCCUCGGACCUUUGUUAAAAAUGUUCUCUUGGAGCAGUCUGGAGUGGAUAUCCUUAAUAAAAUUAGUGAAGUAAAGCUGACAGUUGCUUCGUUUCUCUCAGAUCGAAUAGUAGAUGAAAUCCUUGAUGCUCUGUCUCAUUGUCAUCAUAAACUGG